AUACCAUUUGUUGAGAUUGUAUUUAUUAAAAUAUUUCUUAUGAGAUUCAAUCAUGUAUCAAUAUUAAUUAGAGUUGAUUAAAGCAAUAAUUUAACAUAGAAUAAGCAAUUAUAGAUUAAUAGAUAAGUCAAACAACAUACAACAUUACUUAAACAACACUUGUUAAUUAAUUCAUUUGUAUCAUUUGCUUAUUGCCACUUGUUGAGCAUUUUUUUUGUAUUGUUCUGUUCAGUCAAUUUUCCUUAUAUACUCCCCUUUACUGUAUUGUUCUGUUAAAUUAUUUUUCCUUAUAUACUCCUCCUUACUUAAGUGUCUAUACUCCCCUUGAUUUUUAUGUCUUUGUUAUCUUUAAGUUUUAUUUCUACUUCUCCUCAUGUUUUAUAUUUCUUCAUAUUUCAUUUCUACUUCUCUCCCUUUUUGUCAAUCAACAAAAAGGUGGUGAGUAAGGAUAAAAGGUGAAAGCACAAAUAUUGAAGAAUAGUGAUUGUUCAUUGAUAGAAUUGGAUUACAUAGGAGUACAAUACAAUGACAAAUAACAAUCAGGAUUGAGGAAGAAAAGGAUCAAGUGAAGAUGAAGAAUUCAAGUAUUUCAAGAAUUAUAGAAGAGUGGUUUUCGCUUAUUGAAUCAUUACAUACAUCUACUUCAUCCACUCUUGCUUCAUUUCAUCCACCUUUUCUGAUAGGGCAGAGUCUACAAGAGCUUUGAGAUCCUCUCGAGGGGGAGGAAUUUUGUCUUUCCGAAGCUUUCUCUUGAGUGUGAUGAUACGCAAUAUGAAGCAGUUGCUGCUCCUCUUCCAUGUUGAUUAUCUCUUCAAACCCUUCUUCUUGUAAAACCUACUAUUGCAUAGUUUUUUAUUUUAGCCAUAUUCAGACUAUGCAUAUAACUUUUCUUCUUGUUAAGACCUUAUUA
rnacentral:lncRNA from 1 species